CCUGCCUAGCAGAACGACCCGCGAACGCGUUGCAAACAACACCGGAGGUGGUGCGGGUGCAUCCUCGCCUCUCGCCACCCCCGUGUCUCGGAGCGGCCAGUCUCGUCGUCCCUUUGCCCGUCGGGUGGGGUGAGAUGCCGGGAUCAACCUCUUCGAGGCAAAGCGAACAAACCCCCGGCGCGAAUCGCGCCAAGGAAUCGAAACGAAAGAAGGGGCACGUCUUCUGUCGCCGCACCGUUCGCGGUGUCGAUGCUUCAGUGAUGUUGUUCUCUUGUCGCAAAAUAUACAGAACGACUCUCGGCAACGGAUAUCUCGGCUCUCGCAUCGAUGAAGAACGUAGCGAAAUGCGAUACUUGGUGUGAAUUGCAGAAUCCCGUGAACCAUCGAGUCUUUGAACGCAAGUUGCGCCCCAAGCCAUUAGGCCGAGGGCACGUCUGCCUGGGUGUCACGCAUCGUCGCCCCCAUCCAACCAUGAGCCCUCGAGCCUCGGUUGGACCGCGGGCGGAAAUUGGCCUCCCGUGCGCUCACAGCCAGCGGUUGGCCUAAAUUCGAGUCCUCGACGACAUCAUCGUCGCGACGAUCGGUGGUAAUGCUGCAAGCAACCUCGUUCGGAGUCGUGCGCGUCCGUCGAUCGAGACCCUUGAACCCUUUCGGCAUCGCAAGGACGGUGCUCGCAUCGCGACCCCAGGUCAGGCGGGAUUACCC
rnacentral:rRNA from 1 species